UCUAGUCACACAGAGUUACCACCCUGAAAUUUUUCCCCAUCUCCCUAACCUACCUUCUCCGUACAAAAUUAUAAUUUAUAACAAUCCAUUCCUCAUUAUUUAUAAGAAAAAACCAACAAAACCAAUUUUCAAUGACAAUAAUCAUUUGUGGUCUAAGUUGAACAUGCCCUGAAAAGGAAGGGUGUGAGGAGUGAGAGGAAAGAGAACUGAUAGACAUUGGUUCCAUGGAUUUGAUGAUGGCUAAUUGUUGUGUAGAACAGCAAGAUUGGUUUCUGUACAUAGAAUAUAAGAUUGGCCAGUGAAUAAAAACUCCCAACAAUGAAAACCAAGAGGGCCAAGGAGAGGAUAAAAUUGAGGGGUUGUUGAGCGCAUUACUUCUAGCAAUUAAAGGAGCCUGCGAUUAAGCUCAGCUACACAUGAUAAUAAAGCUUCUCUUACUUGGAGAUUGUUAGAGUCCAUAUUGAGUGCAUCUUCAUAGAGUCGCUUUGCUUGCAUUAGCAACUUAACCUUCUCUUUACUAUUCCGUGGCCGUAAUCGAGAUCUUUGCUGCAGGACCACGCCCCAUCUAAGCAAAGCAUCUGGUGCAUAAACAUUGCCUUUGGACAUCAUCGCAUCAAAUUUAUCAAUUGCAGCCAAGAACACUUUGUCAGCAUCAAAAGCAGCUUCUGGUCCGAUAUCGGCAAUCAAUUGAGCACGAAAAGAGAGAGCAAGCCCCCAAUUAUAUAGUGCCCUUACAUCAUUCCCAUCAAUUGAUAAUGCCAUCCUAUAUUUUCUGCCUGCCUCCACAAGAAGUUCUUCACAUUCUUCACACACAUUAACAAGAGCAGAUGCAAUUUUAUCUUUAUUUGUUACUCGCUCAUCUAAGCCUUUCACUAUUCUAUGUUGGUUUUCAAACAAUAAGGGAUCCCUUCUUGAGAGGACAGUUCUCAAUUCACGGCUGAUCUUUAAUUUUAGUUCUCCAUGAAGGAGAUAUGUAUUGCCCAAUUGGCCAAUGGCCAACAAACUCAUAGGCUUCAUCGCCAGGGCUUUAGAGAGUAACUUGGCAGACUUAUAUAGUAUAAUCUCCACAUGCUCUUCAUCAUGUUUUCCCCUUAUACAUUCCUUGGCUUGUUUCAGAAGGUUGUUUGCUUCAGUAAGAUAACUGUCAAACAUCACAUCAUCUGAAACCAUUGAAGAUGAAGAGGAACCAAUUUCACUUUCUGAUACUGAAUGAUGAUCAGCCAACCAGGAAUCAUCAUUUAGCUCCUCUUCUCUGAAUUGAGAUCUAUAAGUUUCAUCUUCAUUAAUUUUCCUGCUGUGAGAAGACUUGUAACCUGCACUAGAUUGCUUCAACAUCUGCUCUUGUACAAAGGAAGAUUCUGUUUCCAUAUGUUUGUAACUGAAAUCAAAAUCCAUAGAGUUACGGAGAUUGUCAUGGGAUUUCCAUGUUUCAUUUUCUUUAUUUUGGUUCAUCUUCCAAGAGAUAGAUUGAUUAUCUACAAACCGCAAUCUGCUACUUUGGUAAGAAAACUCUUCAGCAUCAAUAUAUCUUUUUCCAUUCCCGGCUUUUUCUCCUCUGUUCAUUUUGGCAUUUUCUGAUAUUAUUCUGAUUCUUCUUUCACUGUCCCAAUCUAAAGCAGACUUAUUUGUUAAACCUUGAGAAAACAUGGAAGGCCUAUUUCCUUUGUCAUUAUCAACAGAAUUAAGAAUCCCUCCUUCCAUCACCAUAGUCGAGCUGCUUCCUUGAGCUUGAUCAUUUGCUAAACCCUGGC
rnacentral:misc_RNA from 1 species